UGACAUCAGGGGUAAAGUCUACAGGAUACAUUGGAAGAACUCUGGGAUGAGUAGAAAAUAUUCCACUGGAAAGAGAGGAGCACAAGAGUUUCAGGCUGAAACAACAGCACUUACACAGGCACAUAGGUGAAGAUGAACAAGUUCACUCCAGGGACCAAAGCAAGGCUAUGUAUUGCAAGAACACUUGCACAUUUGGUGCAGUCGAAAACCCUUGCAUUAGGACCUCAGGACAUUACGCUUGUAUCUUGGUAACUGCUCUGUGAACAUCAAACCAUGAAAAUUGAAGCUGCCACAGGAAAUGGGAAGGCACUGUGUUGGAUACAGAGGAAACAGUGAGUUCAUGCAGUCUUUACUCUCAAGGACUUUACAACCAGCUGGGGAGACAGAACAACCAGCAUUUACAUAUGAUGUCGCUGAUAUAUUCAUUCUUCUGCUCUGAAUUGUUGAGUUCAAGUUUCAAA